GUAGAUUUUUCAACUUGAAAACAUUGCCGCAUACAAUGCUCAUUUCCACAUCUCUGGCAAUUUUUGUCUUUUGCAGCGCAAGCACCUCCUGCAAAUAGGAGGGAAGUCACUGCGCGAGGUGGCAUCGUAUGCCAUGAAGGCUGUAAUGGCACACCCCGUCCAAGUGCUUUACAGCCUUCAUAGCAGGAAGGGGAAGAGGGCAUUCAUCAAUUUGAAGUUAUGCCGGAUAGUCACAGAUGUCAUCUGUGCGAAAGGGGGGGGGGGGCGACCUGACACAAGCACAGGACUUCAUUAAGUGGUUGCCAGGGUCUGUGGACAGCGGUGGUGGCAGAAAGAGGCGUUUCGCAGAAACGUUUGCAGCAGAGCAGCCCGAUGAUCCGUCCCUUCGGGGCACGAAUCAUUGCCUGCCCACUGCUGCGCUCUCCCUGCCCUACCCUUGCCCUCAGGUCCCUGGCAAGUCCACCGUCGGCCCCUCCUGUCCGGCUGCUGCUGCCCCUGCUCCUUCCCCUGCUGCAGCCCCUGCCGCCCCUGCCCCUCCUCCUGCUGCUGCCCCUGGAGCUGAGCACCCCUACUGAUGCCUGCAUCAGUUCAAGAAGUGUAUUGUAAAUAGUAUACUAAAUAAAUUAUAUUUUUGUUUA